GGAUGAUUAAUGAACCUCCAGAAAGGAGCAAAUCAUGUGCUGCAGGACUUGGAGAGGGAGAAUUCAGAGAAAAAAGUGGGAUGAUGAAAUUGUCUAGGAGUUAGUGGCUGUGAGUUGUCAGGCUGGGGCUGAGCGACUGCUGGGCUAUGACUGACACUGCAAGGAAAUGAGGGAAUGCAUCUUGAGGCUGCUUUCCUCUUUUGAUUCGAGCCAGGAACAGCAGAUCCCCGCCAGCCGCGUGAUUCGGAGUCAUGGAAAUUUUGCUGUGCUUGUUCCUGCUAUGUUCCCCAGUCACAUGAAAUGGCCUCUGGACUAGAAAGUGCACAGGAUGGUGGGAUUUCUCCCAUCUCUGGGAAAAAGUGGUAAUAGAAGUGCCACCUCUCAGUGAAAUCAGCCAGAUUGAUCUGAUUUUGACUUGAAGUGGCCCAGGCUGUGAAGAGAUGCACCUUCUCUUAUCUCUGGGUUUCACCUUCCAUUAAUGACAGAAAACAGGAUGCAC